AUGCCGCCGCCGCCACCGCGAUCCCUGAAACGCCGCCGAUCUAUUCGCUACAUCGACGGAAACCAGGCGCUAGCCACGGAUCCCUUUGCCGGCGCCGAGCAGUCAUCGAGGAGUCGGCGCCGAUGUCCUAAAGGAGGCGCCGCCACCAUCGUUGCAGGCCUCCAGGUCGCCAUCGGGACACCGCCGCCGAGAUCCGCCUUCGCCUUCGUCCGGCAGAGGCGGCGGAAGGCAGCCGGGAGGGGAAGCGCACAACGACCCGGAAGACAUCCGCCCUCACGCGCUCAUGUCUUGCUCGAUCUACCCGAGGGCUGCCGAUGGGCGCCUCGGCGGCGGCCACGGCGAGAUCUGCGUCUGGGACGUGACAAUCCCUCCACCCCGGUCGCCGGUGAGAUUUCACUGCCUUGA
rnacentral:rRNA from 1 species